GACGAACGCUGGCGGCGUGCUUAACACAUGCCAGUCGAACGAAGAGCGACGGAAGCUUGCUUCUAUCAAUCUUAGUGGCGAACGGGUGAGUAACGCGUAAUCAACCUGCCCUUCAGAGGGGGACAACAGUUGGAAACGACUGCUAAUACCGCAUACGAUCUAACCUCGGCAUCGAGGAUAGAUGAAAGGUGGCCUCUACAUGUAAGCUAUCACUGAAGGAGGGGAUUGCGUCUGAUUAGCUAGUUGGAGGGGUAACGGCCCACCAAGGCGAUGAUCAGUAGCCGGUCUGAGAGGAUGAACAGCUACAUUGGGACGGAGACACGGCCCAGACUCCUACGGGAGGCAGCAGUGGGGAAUCUUCCGCAAUGGACGAAAGUCUGACGGAGCAACGCCGCGUGAGUGAUGACGGCCUUCGGGUUGUAAAGCUCUGUUAAUCGGGACGAAAGGCCUUCUUGCGAAUAGUGAGAAGGAUUGACGGUACCGGAAUAGAAAGCCACGGCUAACUACGUG
rnacentral:rRNA from 1 species